rnacentral:lncRNA from 1 species
GCUUAAUUUUGGUUAAUUCCUCUCAUAAGUAAAUUUUGUGUGAGUAUUUGUAUAUUUAUAAAUAAUCUUGAAUCAAUGUUUUUAUGAGUAACUUCCUUUGGUUGAAUUGUCAUCAUUUCAGACUGAAUAUGAUGACAGAUUCUUUUCCGGCAAUAAGUUGCGCCUUUUUGGUAAAAGUUCGAAAAUCAUCGUAUCACUUUAUUAUUUUCAUACGUACUUGGAGAGAUGUUCCGAGAAAGUCCGGGAAAUUAUUACUUCCCUUUAACAAAAGUUCGGGAAAAACAGUCAACUUCCGGGCACGUAAAUUUGAAAUUAGUCAAAAUAGUUAAAAUCUUUUUAUUAUAUGCUGGAGAUGGACUAAAAAUGUUACGAACAAUACCAAUUUGAUAAAUAUCAACGAUGUGUGCGAUCUGACGGCAAGGAAGGCACGUUUUCCCAGAGAAAUCGUUGGGGAAUCCAGGUAGGUCAAUCUAUUUAUUUAUAGAUAGCAGAAAAAUGGCGUCGAGUUAGUUGCCUUUUUGUUUCUUAGUAUGGAUAGUAAAAUUGGGUAUUUUCUCUGGGUCGUUUAAAUCACUCGAA